AUACGUAGGGGGCGAGCGUUGUCCGGAAUGACUGGGCGUAAAGGGCGUGUAGGCGGCCGAUUAAGUCUGGAGUGAAAGUCCCGCUUUCAAGGUGGGAAUUGCUUUGGAGACUGGUUGGCUUGAGUGCGGAAGAGGUAAGUGGAAUUCCCAGUGUAGCGGUGAAAUGCGUAGAGAUUGGGAGGAACACCAGUGGCGAAGGCGACUUACUGGGCCGUAACUGACGCUGAGGCGCGAAAGCGUGGGGAGCGAACAGGAUUAGAUACCCUGGUAGUCCACGCUGUAAACGAUGAAUACUAGGUGUGGGGGGACUGACCCCCUCCGUGCCGGAGUAAACACAAUAAGUAUUCCACCUGGGGAGUACGACCGCAAGGUUGAAACUCAAAUGAAUUGACGGGG
rnacentral:rRNA from 1 species